GCUUAACACAUGCAAGUCGAACGGAAAGGCCCUUCGGGGUACUCGAGUGGCGAACGGGUGAGUAACACGUGGGUGAUCUGCCUCGUACUUUGGGAUAAGCCUGGGAAACUGGGUCUAAUACCGAAUAUGACCUCUGGAUGCAUGUCUGGUGGUGGAAAGUUUUUCGGUACGAGAUGGGCCCGCGGCCUAUCAGCUUGUUGGUGGGGUAAUGGCCUACCAAGGCGACGACGGGUAGCCGGCCUGAGAGGGCGACCGGCCACACUGGGACUGAGACACGGCCCAGACUCCUACGGGAGGCAGCAGUGGGGAAUAUUGCACAAUGGGCGCAAGCCUGAUGCAGCGACGCCGCGUGAGGGAUGACGGCCUUCGGGUUGUAAACCUCUUUCACCAGGGACGAAGAGUGAUUGACGGUACCUGGAGAAGAAGCACCGGCCAACUACGUGCCAGCAGCCGCGGUAAUACGUAGGGUGCGAGCGUUGUCCGGAAUUACUGGGCGUAAAGAGCUCGUAGGCGGUUUGUCGCGUCGUUCGUGAAAUCUUGAUGCUUAACAUCAAGCGUGCGGGCGAUACGGGCAGACUUGAGUACUACAGGGGAGACUGGAAUUCCUGGUGUAGCGGUGAAAUGCGCAGAUAUCAGGAGGAACACCGGUGGCGAAGGCGGGUCUCUGGGUAGUAACUGACGCUGAGGAGCGAAAGCGUGGGUAGCGAACAGGAUUAGAUACCCUGGUAGUCCACGCCGUAAACGGUGGGUACUAGGUGUGGGUUCCUUUUC
rnacentral:rRNA from 1 species